GACGAACGCUGGCGGCGUGCUUAACACAUGCAAGUCGAACGGAAAGGCCCUGCUUUUGUGGGGAGCUCGAGUGGCGAACGGGUGAGUAACACGUGAGUAACCUGCCCUUGACUUUGGGAUAACUUCAGGAAACUGGGGCUAAUACCGGAUAGGAGCUCCUGCUGCAUGGUGGGGGUUGGAAAGUUUCGGCGGUUGGGGAUGGACUCGCGGCUUAUCAGCUUGUUGGUGGGGUAGUGGCUUACCAAGGCUUUGACGGGUAGCCGGCCUGAGAGGGUGACCGGCCACAUUGGGACUGAGAUACGGCCCAGACUCCUACGGGAGGCAGCAGUGGGGAAUAUUGCACAAUGGGCGGAAGCCUGAUGCAGCAACGCCGCGUGCGGGAUGACGGCCUUCGGGUUGUAAACCGCUUUCGCCUGUGACGAAGCGUGAGUGACGGUGAUGGGUAAAGAAGCACCGGCUAACUACGUG
rnacentral:rRNA from 1 species